ACUCACUCCACCUCAUUACACUCACACUGCCUUGGUACACUCACAUACCCUGCCUCGGUACACUCAUCCUGCCUCGCACUCACACACCACCUCUCAUUACACUUACACUGCCUCAAAACACUCACACCCUGCCUCUGUACACUCACAACCCGCCUCUGUACACUCACACACCCCGCCUCGGUACAUGCACACAUACCGCCUCGGUAGGCUCACACAUACCAUCUCGGUACACACACACGCCGCCUCGGUACACUCACAGAAUCAUGGUACACUCACAUAACCUGCCUUGGUACACUCAUACAUACUGCCUCAGUACACUCACACACCGCCUCGGUACACUCACACUGCCUCAGUAUAAUCACUCCACCUUGGUACACUCACACACCCCUCCUCGGUACACUCACACUGCCUCAGAACCUCACAUACCGCCUCGGUACACACACAUACCCCGCCUUGAUAGACUGACACACACCACCUCAGUACGCUCACACAGCCAGCCUCGGUAUACUCACACAACCUGCCUUGGUACACUCACACACCUCGCCUCAGUACAUUCAACCACCUCAGUACACUCACUCACACCACCUUGGUAUACUCACACACCCCACCACAAUACCCUCACUUUGCCUCGGUACACUGACUAAUACCACCUCAGUACACUCAUACCCAUUGCCUCAGUAUACUCACACCACCUUGGUACACUCACACACCCCGUCUGAGUACACUCACACACCUUGCCUCAGUACACUCACACUGCCUUGGUACACUCACACACACACCACCUCGGUACACUCACACCCCUCCUUAUUACACACACACCUUACCUUGGCACACACCCUGUCUCAGUACACACACACACCAUCUCGGUACACUUACACACCCCACCUUGGUACACUCACACACCCCACCUUGGUACACUCACACACCCUGCCUCAGUACACUCACACACACCGCCUUGGUACACUCGCAUUGCCUUGGUACAUUCACACACCCCAACUCAGUACACUCAGAAAACAUGCCUCUGUACAUUCACACACCACACCACCUCGUUAUACUCACACCAUCUCAGUACACUCACACACUCCAUCUGAGUACAUUCACACACCUUGUCUUGGUACACUCACACCACCUUGGUACACACACACCUUGCCUCUCUGUACACUCACACAUCCCCACCUUGAUACCUUCACAUACACCACCUCGACACAUUCAUACACCCCGCCUCAGAACACUCACACAUCCACAUACACCCACACACACCACCUCGGUACAUUCACACACCCCACCUUGGUAUACUCACACAACCCACCUUGGUACACUCAUACAACCUGCCUCGCUACACUCACACGCACUGCCUCGGUACACUUGCACACCCAACCUUGGUACACCCACACACACCUCCUCGGUACACAUACACACCCCGCCUCAGUACACCCACACAACCCACCUCGGUACACUCACACACCCCACCUCGGUACACUCACACACCCCACCUCGGUACACUCACACACCCCGCCUCAGUACACUCACGUCUUGCUUCAGUACACUCACAUGUCCCACCUCGGUCCACUCAUACACACUGCCUUGGUGCACUCACAAAUGCUGCCUCAGUACAUUCACACACACCACCUCAGUACACUCGCACACCCAACCUUGGUAUACUCACACACACCGCCUCAAUACACAUACACAUACCACCUCAGUACACUCACACAACCCGCCUCGGUACACUCACACACCUUUCCUCGGUACACUCACACGACUUGCCUUGGUACACUCGCAUGCCUUGCCUGUGUACACUCAUACAUACCACCUUGGUACGCUCACACACAUUGCCUUGGUACACUCAUACACUGCCUUGGUAUACUCACACACUUUGCUUCAGUACGCUCACACACCCGCCUCAGUACACUCACAUCACCUCGGUACACUGCCAUACCCCACUUCAGUAUACUCACACACUUUGCCUUGGUACACUCAGACUGCCUCGAUACAUUCACACACCCCACCUCAGUCCACUCACACACCCUGCACCGGUACACUCCCACAUCGCGCCUUGGUCCACUCACACACACUACCUCAGUCCACUCAGAUACCCUGCCUUUGUCCACUCACACGCCCCACCUUGGUACAUUCACAAAACCCGCCUUGGUACACUCACACACACCACCUUGGUACACUCACACACACCACCUCGUUACACUCACACACACUGCCGCAGUACACUCACACACCCCGCCUCGGUACACUUACACACCCUGCCUCGGAACACUCACACAAAUCGUCUUGGUACUCUCACACUGCCUUGGUACACUCACACACCCCACCUCGGUACACUCACA
rnacentral:lncRNA from 1 species